UGGGGAAUAUUGCACAAUGGGCGCAAGCCUGAUGCAGCAACGCCGCGUGAGGGAUGACGGCCUUCGGGUUGUAAACCUCUUUUAGUAGGGAAGAAGCGAAAGUGACGGUACCUGCAGAAAAAGCACCGGCUAACUACGUGCCAGCAGCCGCGGUAAUACGUAGGGUGCGAGCGUUGUCCGGAAUUAUUGGGCGUAAAGAGCUCGUAGGCGGUCUGUCGCGUCUGCUGUGAAAACCCCGAGGCUCAACCUCGGGCCUGCAGUGGGUACGGGCAGACUAGAGUGCGGUAGGGGAGAAUGGAAUUCCUGGUGUAGCGGUGGAAUGCGCAGAUAUCAGGAGGAACACCGAUGGCGAAGGCAGUUCUCUGGGCCGUAACUGACGCUGAGGAGCGAAAGCGUGGGGAGCGAACAGGAUUAGAUACCCUGGUAGUCCACGCCGUAAACGUUGGGCGCUAGAUGUGGGGACCAUUCCACGGUUUCCGUGUCGCAGCUAACGCAUUAAGCGCCCCGCCUGGGGAGUACGGCCGCAAGGCUAAAACUCAAAUGAAUUGACGGGGUCAUAGCUG
rnacentral:rRNA from 1 species